UACAGAGGGGGCAAGCGUUAUUCGGAAUUAUUGGGCGUAAAGGGCGCGUAGGCGGCUUUUCAAGUGGCGGGUGAAAUCCCUCGGCUUAACCGAGGAACUGCCUGCCAGACUGGAAGGCUCGAGACCGGGAGAGGUGAGUGGAAUUCCCAGUGUAGCGGUGAAAUGCGUAGAUAUUGGGAGGAACACCAGUGGCGAAGGCGGCUCACUGGACCGGAACUGACGCUGAGGCGCGAAAGCGUGGGGAGCAAACAGG
rnacentral:rRNA from 1 species